CUCCCCGAAAGCUAUUUAGGUAGCGCCUCGUGAAUUCAUCUCCGGGGGUAGAGCACUGUUUCGGCUAGGGGGCCAUCCCGGCUUACCAACCCGAUGCAAACUGCGAAUACCGGAGAAUGUUAUCACGGGAGACACACGGCGGGUGCUAACGUCCGUCGUGAAGAGGGAAACAACCCAGACCGCCAGCUAAGGUCCCAAAGUCAUGGUUAAGUGGGAAACGAUGUGGGAAGGCCCAGACAGCCAGGAUGUUGGCUUAGAAGCAGCCAUCAUUUAAAGAAAGCGUAAUAGCUCACUGGUCGAGUCGGCCUGCGCGGAAGAUGUAACGGGGCUAAACCAUGCACCGAAGCUGCGGCAGCGACGCUGAUGCGUUGUUGGGUAGGGGAGCGUUCUGUAAGCCUGCGAAGGUGGCCUGUGAGGGUUGCUGGAGGUAUCAGAAGUGCGAAUGCUGACAUAAGUAACGAUAAAGCGGGUGAAAAGCCCGCUCGCCGGAAGACCAAGGGUUCCUGUCCAACGUUAAUCGGGGCAGGGUGAGUCGACCCCUAAGGCGAGGCCGAAAGGCGUAGUCGAUGGGAAACGGGUUAAUAUUCCCGUACUUGGUGUUACUGCGAAGGGGGGACGGAGAAGGCUAUGUUGGCCGGGCGACGGUUGUCCCGGUUUAAGCGUGUAGGUGUGUGUUCCAGGUAAAUCCGGUUCACUUUAACACUGAGGCGUGAUGACGAGGCACUACGGUGCUGAAGCAACAAAUGCCCUGCUUCCAGGAAAAGCCUCUAAGCAUCAGGUAACAUCAAAUCGUACCCCAAACCGACACAGGUGGUCAGGUAGAGAAUACCAAGGCGCUUGAGAGAACUCGGGUGAAGGAACUAGGCAAAAUGGUGCCGUAACUUCGGGAGAAGGCACGCUGACACGUAGGUGAAGUGAUUUACUCAUGGAGCUGAAGUCAGUCGAAGAUACCAGCUGGCUGCAACUGUUUAUUAAAAACACAGCACUGUGCAAACACGAAAGUGGACGUAUACGGUGUGACGCCUGCCCGGUGCCGGAAGGUUAAUUGAUGGGGUCAGCGCAAGCGAAGCUCCUGAUCGAAGCCCCGGUAAACGGCGGCCGUAACUAUAACGGUCCUAAGGUAGCGAAAUUCCUUGUCGGGUAAGUUCCGACCUGCACGAAUGGCGUAAUGAUGGCCAGGCUGUCUCCACCCGAGACUCAGUGAAAUUGAACUCGCUGUGAAGAUGCAGUGUACCCGCGGCAAGACGGAAAGACCCCGUGAACCUUUACUAUAGCUUGACACUGAACAUUGAGCCUUGAUGUGUAGGAUAGGUGGGAGGCUUUGAAGUGUGGACGCCAGUCUGCAUGGAGCCGGCCUUGAAAUACCACCCUUUAAUGUUUGAUGUUCUAACGUGGACCCGUGAUCCGGGUUGCGGACAGUGUCUGGUGGGUAGUUUGACUGGGGCGGUCUCCUCCUAAAGAGUAACGGAGGAGCACGAAGGUUGGCUAAUCCUGGUCGGACAUCAGGAGGUUAGUGCAAUGGCAUAAGCCAGCUUGACUGCGAGCGUGACGGCGCGAGCAGGUGCGAAAGCAGGUCAUAGUGAUCCGGUGGUUCUGAAUGGAAGGGCCAUCGCUCAACGGAUAAAAGGUACUCCGGGGAUAACAGGCUGAUACCGCCCAAGAGUUCAUAUCGACGGCGGUGUUUGGCACCUCGAUGUCGGCUCAUCACAUCCUGGGGCUGAAGUAGGUCCCAAGGGUAUGGCUGUUCGCCAUUUAAAGUGGUACGCGAGCUGGGUUUAGAACGUCGUGAGACAGUUCGGUCCCUAUCUGCCGUGGGCGCUGGAGAACUGAGGGGGGCUGCUCCUAGUACGAGAGGACCGGAGUGGACGCAUCACUGGUGUUCGGGUUGUCAUGCCAAUGGCACUGCCCGGUAGCUAAAUGCGGAAGAGAUAAGUGCUGAAAGCAUCUAAGCACGAAACUUGCCCCGAGAUGAGUUCUCCCUGAGACUUAGAGUCUCCUGAAGGAACGUUGAAGACGACGACGUUGAUAGGCCGGGUGUGUAAGCGCAGCGAUGCGUUGAGCUAACCGGUACUAAUGAACCGUGAGGCUUAACCUU
rnacentral:rRNA from 1 species